rnacentral:rRNA from 1 species
AUUGAACGCUGGCGGAAUGCUUUACACAUGCAAGUCGAACGGCAGCACGGGUGCUUGCACCUGGUGGCGAGUGGCGAACGGGUGAGUAACAUAUCGGAACGUAUCCAAUAAUGGGGGAUAACUAAUCGAAAGGUUGGCUAAUACCGCAUACGCCCUACGGGGGAAAGCUAGGGACCUUCGGGCCUGGCGUUAAUGGAGCGGCCGAUAUCUGAUUAGCUAGUUGGUGGGGUAAGAGCCCACCAAGGCGACGAUCAGUAGCUGGUCUGAGAGGACGACCAGCCACACUGGAACUGAGACACGGUCCAGACUCCUACGGGAGGCAGCAGUGGGGAAUUUUGGACAAUGGGCGCAAGCCUGAUCCAGCCAUUCCGCGUGAGUGAAGAAGGCCUUCGGGUUGUAAAGCUCUUUCGCAAGGGAAGAAAACUUAUCCUCUAACAUAGGGUGAGGUUGACGGUACCUUGAUAAGAAGCACCGGCUAACUACGUGCCAGCCGCCGCCGUAAAAC